UGCGCCCAGGAGGCCCGGCACAGCCCAGCAGAAGUGGGGGGUGGUGGGGGGGUGGAAGGUGCCGUCCACUGGCCAGAGAAGGGCCCAGGCCCAGGCCCGGGCCCGGGCCCAGGCAAGACAGACACGGACUGGAAGAUUGUGGAGACGCCUCAGGCACACAGGGGCCACCCGGAGAAGUGGAGACAUGCGCAGACCCCGCUGUGAGAGCCUGAGAGGUGAAAUGGGUCCAAGCCUUUGCCAGAUGGAGAGUUCUGCGAGCAUGGAGACCUUUCUAACUAGUGACUUGUUCACCUCCCAGUGCUUCUUCCUAACUGAGGCCAGGACAUUUCUGGAGUCUCUUGUCACGGUCAACAACAUCCCUUGAGAGACCGGGAAGUGGGGGUUUCUGUUCUAAGUCCCGCAGGCAAAGCCAGAGCAGAUGAGCCUGACUAUGGGGGAGGAACCCGAGAUAGUUCAUGGCUGUGCCCAGAGUGCCAAGAGUUGGCGUGACGGGGGCCAUCUGGACUUCUAGAGUUUGUAUUCGGUGUGAGUCCUGGCAAAGCCAUCCGAAGAGAGCAGGGCUACCAGUGGGCCAUGUGGCACAUUCCUGCUACCUUGCAAAUGACCGCACCCUGUCAGGGCAAGUGAGAGUCUCGGACUGAACCAGAAGAAGUCAGUCGCUUCACAGGAGGGUAAGCAAAUCAACACACUCAAGAAGGUAAGGAAAAAAGGAGGCAGGGUUCAACAUCCAAUCCCAUGGAGACUGAGAGACUUUUGUAAUGUACUAAUAACUGCACAUUCUAGGUUGAAGAGGGUGAUUUCGUGGUCUGCAUAUGAAUAAGAGCCAUUUUUACGAAAAAAAAUGCCGAAGGGUGCAUAUUCAGUUGUUAAAAAGGAGUCGGCUUUAUGGCCACAGCAAGGUUCUGGCCAAAUGGUAACCACUCAGUUAUCCUGGGGGAGAAAAGAAACCGGCCCCCAACCUUUGCCUUUCCUAGCAUUUGGGGGAAAAUAAAGGAUUAGGUGAAAAUGAUU